GGAUGGCGUCUUAUUAAAAAUCUGAAUUCCUUAUUAGCCAGAGUUCUCAAAGUAAAAUAUUUUCCGUAAUCAAACUUUCUAAAUGCACAGUUGGGAUCUUUACCUUCAUUUACCUAGAAGAGCAUCUGGGCAGCAAAGGGGCUCAUUCAUGAUGGUCUUUGCUGGAGAGUUGAACGAAGGACUGAGAUAUCCAUAUGGACAGAUUGUUGGAUUCCAAGGAGUGCAGCAAUUGGUUGGCAACACAGAGAGUCCAAAAGAUCUUGCAGAUCCCUUUGGCAGAAGCAGACCAUGCAGACUUCCAAGUGUGGAAAGAAAAACCUUAAGGGGAUUUCUCAGUAAGAAGUGCCUAUAAACUAUUACAAUAUAACAGCUUGUAUACUAAUAGCUAUUUAUUACAACCCAAAACUAAAAAUUUCCAUCGAAAAUUAUGGGAUUUACAGCUACCAUCAAAAAUUACAAUAACAAUAUGGCGAAUCUCUUGGAACUAUUUCCUUUCAUUAGCUAACCUAAGUUAUAAGAAAGUGACCGCCAACGAUAGAUGUUCUCGGUGCAGUCUCAGAGAAGAAGAUAGCAACCAUAUCUUUAGACAAUGCCCUGCAAUCAGUGAAAUAUGGCAAAGCAUCAACCUCUCUUGGGCUAUAAUUCAUAUGAAUCAAAUUUUCUGGGAAUGGUUAACCUGGGUUU